UAAAGCUGCAUUGCUGAAAGGGGACAGGCCCCAUUCUCAGCCCUCCCCAGAACAGGGCAGGGAGGACAACAGCAGAUGGUCACCAUGGAGCCUCAUCCCUGAGAGGCCCAAUGCAGGGGGAUGAUGCAGAUGGGGGAUAAUGCAAAUGGGAGGAUCGGUCUGCUUCAACAUUCUGCUCUAACCCCACUCCCUAAAGAGCUAGGCAGAAAAGUCCUGGGCUUAGAACAGGGGAGCAGGGCAAAGGCCUUGAAUAUUCCUUCAGCUAGGAGAUUGCUCUCUCUUCUCCAUUCAGCACAGAGCCAUACUCCCACACGCCGCUUCUCCACGCUGCUUUUCUCAGCCUGAAGGGGAGAUUGCAUGGCCUGCUCUCUUCUCUGAUUACUGGCAACUGUGCCUAAGGAUGAAAAUAAGCUGGCUGAAGCCUAAGAAGAAGGUACCAACUGCAGACAGGUACCCAACCCAAAGGAUGGCCACAGGCCAAGGUCUUUGUCCUUAC
rnacentral:lncRNA from 1 species